rnacentral:rRNA from 1 species
AGAGUUUGAUUCUGGCUCAGAACGAACGCUGGCGGCGUGGAUAAGACAUGCAAGUCGAACGGGAGAAUUGCUAGCUUGCUAAUAAUUCUCUAGUGGCGCACGGGUGAGUAACACGUGAGUAACCUGCCCCCAAGAGUGGGAUAGCCCCGGGAAACUGGGAUUAAUACCGCAUAAAAUCGCAAGAUUAAAGCAGCAAUGCGCUUGGGGAUGGGCUCGCGUCCUAUUAGUUAGUUGGUGAGGUAACGGCUCACCAAGGCGAUGACGGGUAGCCGGUCUGAGAGGAUGUCCGGCCACACUGGAACUGAGACACGGUCCAGACACCUACGGGUGGCAGCAGUCGAGAAUCAUUCACAAUGGGGGAAACCCUGAUGGUGCGACGCCGCGUGGGGGAAUGAAGGUCUUCGGAUUGUAAACCCCUGUCAUGUGGGAGCAAAUUAAAAAGAUAGUACCACAAGAGGAAGAGACGGCUAACUCUGUGCCAGCAGCCGCGGUAAUACAGAGGUCUCAAGCGUUGUUCGGAAUCACUGGGCGUAAAGCGUGCGUAGGCGGUUUCGUAAGUCGUGUGUGAAAGGCGGGGGCUCAACCCCCGGACUGCACAUGAUACUGCGAGACUAGAGUAAUGGAGGGGGAACCGGAAUUCUCGGUGUAGCAGUGAAAUGCGUAGAUAUCGAGAGGAACACUCGUGGCGAAGGCGGGUUCCUGGACAUUAACUGACGCUGAGGCACGAAGGCCAGGGGAGCGAAAGGGAUUAGAUACCCCUGUAGUCCUGGCAGUAAACGGUGCACGCUUGGUGUGCGGGGAAUCGACCCCCUGCGUGCCGGAGCUAACGCGUUAAGCGUGCCGCCUGGGGAGUACGGUCGCAAGAUUAAAACUCAAAGAAAUUGACGGGGACCCGCACAAGCGGUGGAGUAUGUGGCUUAAUUCGAUGCAACG